GUUGUUGUGAAGAUUAAAUGGGUUAAC
rnacentral:piRNA from 1 species